rnacentral:rRNA from 1 species
GCAUAUCAAUAAGCGGAGGAAAAGAAACCAACAGGGAUUGCCCCAGUAACGGCGAGUGAAGCGGCAAGAGCUCAAAUUUGAAAUCUGGCCUCCCCCGGGGGCCCGAGUUGUAAUUUUGCAGAGGAUGCUUCGGGUGCGGCCGCCGUCUAAGUUCCUUGGAACAGGACGUCAGAGAGGGUGAGAAUCCCGUCUUGGGCGGGCGGUCCGCGCCCGUGUGAAGCUCCUUCGACGAGUCGAGUUGUUUGGGAAUGCAGCUCUAAGCGGGUGGUAAAUUUCAUCUAAAGCUAAAUAUUGGCCGGAGACCGAUAGCGCACAAGUAGAGUGAUCGAAAGGUUAAAAGCACCUUGAAAAGGGAGUUAAACAGCACGUGAAAUUGUUGAAAGGGAAGCGCUUGCGGCCAGAUUCGGGGGCGGGGUUCAGCGGGUGCUCGUCGCCCGUGUAUUCCUCGUCUCCCGGGCCAGCAUCAGUUUCGACGGCCGGUCAAAGGCCCCCGGAAUGUGUCGUCUCUCGGGACGUCUUAUAGCCGGGGGUGCAAUGCGGCCCGUCGGGACUGAGGAACGCGCUCCGGCUCGGAUGCUGGCGUAAUGGCCGUAAGCGGCCCGUCUUGAAACACGGACCAAGGAGUCUAACAUCCACGCGAGUGUUCGGGUGUCAAACCCGUGCGCGCAGUGAAAGCGAACGGAGGUGGGAGCCCUAGGGCGCACCAUCGACCGAUCCUGAAGUCUUCGGAUGGAUUUGAGUAGGAGCGUGGCCGUUGGGACCCGAAAGAUGGUGAACUAUGCCUGAAUAGGGUGAAAGCCAGAGGAAACUCUGGUGGAGGCUCGCAGCGGUUCUGACGUGCAAAAUCGAUCGUCAAAUUUGGGCAUAGGGGCGAAAGACUAAUCGAACCAUCUAGUAGCUGGUCUGCA